UACGUAGGGGGCAAGCGUUGUCCGGAAUUAUUGGGCGUAAAGAGCGCGUAGGCGGCACGGCAAGUCAGGAGUGAAAGCCCUGGGCUCAACCCGGGAACUGCUUUUGAAACUGCCGAGCUAGAGUGCGGAAGGGGCAACUGGAAUUCCCAGUGUAGCGGUGAAAUGCGUAGAUAUUGGGAAGAACACCUGAGGCGAAGGCGGGUUGCUGGGCCGACACUGACGCUGAUGCGCGAAAGCCAGGGGAGCGAACGGG
rnacentral:rRNA from 1 species